AGUGAACGCUGGCGGUAUGCCUAACACAUGCAAGUCGAACGGCAGCACAGUAAGAGCUUGCUCUUACGGUUGGCGAGUGGCGGACGGGUGAGGAAUACAUCGGAAUCUACUUUUUCGUGGGGGAUAACGUAGGGAAACUUACGCUAAUACCGCAUACGACCUACGGGUGAAAUCAGGGGAUCUUCGGACCUUGCGCGAUUGAAUGAGCCGAUGUCGGAUUAGCUAGUUGGCGGGGUAAAGGCCCACCAAGGCGACGAUCCGUAGCUGGUCUGAGAGGAUGAUCAGCCACACUGGAACUGAGACACGGUCCAGACUCCUACGGGAGGCAGCAGUGGGGAAUAUUGGACAAUGGGCGCAAGCCUGAUCCAGCCAUACCGCGUGGGUGAAGAAGGCCUUCGGGUUGUAAAGCCCUUUUGUUGGGAAAGAAAAGCAGCAGGUUAAUACCCCGAUGUUCUGACGGUACCCAAAGAAUAAGCAACGGCUAACUUCGUG
rnacentral:rRNA from 1 species